AGCCCCGCCCCCGCCGCCGUGCCCCGGCGCGGCGCUUAUAGCGGGCGGGCGGCGCGGCGGGAGCGCGGGCGGCGAUGGCGGCGGGCGCGGAGGGGCUGCGCGGGCUCCUGGCGCUGCUGGUGCUGGGCGUGCUGGCGGCCGGCGGCGAGGGCACAAGUCCAGACAUCCAAACAGGGUUCUCAGACUCUACUGGCAAGCUGAUCCUCAGCUGCAACCUAACUGAUCCUUACUCUGCCAUUGAGGGUCAUGAAUGGAAGCAUGGAGACAAGAUACUUCAAACAGACAUGGAGUCAAGCGCUUUCACCAGUUACAUAAUCGAGGGAAAGAAGGAAGAGCACUCUGGUAUCUAUGAAUGCAUCUACAAAACAAGCCCAGAGAUAAAAGGAGAAAUGAAUAUAUCAGUUCUGCCCCAAGUGGUGGCAUACAAGAAGUCUGAGCAUGGGAACGAGGGGGACACGGGGGUGCUGACCUGCAAGAAUCCCUCUUUUCCUCCUGUCAGUGCUUGGGUCUGGUACAGAAAUGAUCAAGAGUCCAUCGUCAAUGGAUCUGGUCGAUACAUUAUCAAGUCCAGCGGCAACAAGACAGAGUUACGCAUUCUUAAGCUGAACAUCGAGGAGGAUACGGGUGACUACCACUGCACUGCCAUCAACUCUAUUGGCAAGGGUGAAGCUACAGUGAAUCUGCGUGUACGCAGCCGUCUGGCAGCGCUCUGGCCCUUCCUGGGUAUAGUGGCAGAAGUCCUGGUCCUUGUCACCAUCAUCUUUAUCUACGAGAAGAGGAGGAAGCCAGAUGAAGUUCUCGAUGGUAAGAGGCACCUGGGGUUACAUCUUUCUGGGGAGAAAAAGGAGCUUGUAGGGUGCAGGCAAAUUGUUCUCAGAGAGCUCAGACUUUGUCAGAGGGGCACUACAGCUCAGUGGGAGGCCUGCUUCUCAGGAAUGCUUCUUGUCUAACCAUCAUAGCCUCCACCAGGUUACUUCAGUGUGGAAGUACUUGCACACUUUCUGCCAAUCCUUCAGCAAGCUGUGCUUUGGCUCCAGAGUUAGAUUCAGUGCAGGUCAGCCUGACCCUUUGUCUCAGCAGUUCCUCUGCACUUUGUUCAGCGGCCUGACGCGAGCAUCUCCAGGACAGGGUUUUCUUUGACAGUUAAAAUUCUGGAGAAAAUGAUUUGGGAACAGGUAGUAGAGCUUUUCUGAGCUGCAAAGGAAGGGAGUCUGUCAGUGGUUCCAUAACAAUAGGCUUAGCCUCAGCUUGUGAAUCUGUUUUGGGUCAUCAAAUUCACUCAUCCCAGCUCUCUUUGAGUUCCUCAAAGCCUGGUGUUAUCUUUAAUCUGUUCUGGAAGUGUGGCUCCUCCCUUUCCUUAUCGGUAGGAAUCUUCAUUGUGUUAGCCCCAGCAGCCCCUCCCUUAUCUGAUCCCGCUAACAAUGCAGUGUAAAUGCUCGAUAUCCUUCCUGCUGGCUGGGUCAGUCACCUUCGCCCUUUGCAGGGGAACAGCACAUCAGGUGGACUGGGUGGUGUGAAGGGAAGCAGAGGGACUAAAACUGAGUAUCCCUGCCUGGCUGCAGAGCUUGGGAGAUUCUACUCGAGGCGGUUUUAUAAGUAAAUGUGUUGCCCUCUGGCACGGUGCUCUUGGCUGGAAGGCAGAUGUCUACUUAAGAAUGGCUGUAGCUACAUCUUUUAGCAAAAAAAGCUGUAGCCUGUUUUUCUGAGUGUGGUUUCAGCUGGUAUCAGCUGAGUCCAGAUCCUGCUCAGCUCUGUCUGAGUUGUGGUGGAGCCUUUGACAGAUGACGACAGGUCCUGUAAUACUGGCAGGUCUCCUCUGGCGGCUCCUCAGCCAGAGAUCUUAAGCUCAGGUUCCCAAGUGCUUGUGGAUGAAAAUACAGCAUUGCACUUGAUGCUACAACAGGACAGUGUAAAGCUGCAUCUUGCUCCUCGAAAGCCUCAGGAAGGCAGUGCUGAGCCAGCUUAGAGAGCUGCUGAGCCUCGGGUGUGUGGCGGUGAGCUGGCUGCUCCCUGUUACCUGGGAUGGGAAGAGUCCAGCCUGAGUAUGGCCUGAUUUCCUUGCUGGUGUUAUCUUUCCACUCUUCCCUUCUCUGCUGCUGGGUGCCACCUCAAAUGGUAAGUGGAAGCUGGUUCCAGCCGUGUCCUCUCACCAGCUGUGUGCAGGUCUUGGUGCCCAAGGCAGCCCCGAGUUUAGAGCUCGGGUCUGACCCCUCAGCGCUGCUUGAACGGAAGCCUGGGCCAUGGAGGAGGUUAUGGGAACCCUCUUCUGGAAAGUGGCAGAUUGCGAGGAGCUGGUGAAAGGUCCCAGGGCUUGGCACUUGUUGGCAAAGGUGUUUUCUUAGCUGUGUUUCUCUGCGUAGCAAGAACGUGGCGUGCAGUGUUUGUUUUGUUUCACAAGAUGUGCAGGGAGGAAGAAGGGCUUUACGUGGAUACUGAAAGCCUCGUUCCUGCAGCCUUGACUUUGUGUUCAGAUCUGGGAGCUGUUAACAGGUGUGAGAGCAGCAAGUACUUGGGUGUGCUGUCCCACCGAGUGGAUUGUGGCUCCCAUUACAGCUCUGGGUGCUAGUGGGAGGACUGGCUGGGGACACGGGGUGUGGAUGUUAACUGAUGUUAGUGGUCAGCAGUGCUGCUUGAGGCUGCCUGGACACUUCCCUGUGUAAUUCUGCUUCUGUGGCUUCCUGGAUAGUCUCAGGUGUGCCUCGAGGUUAAUAAAGCACCAGACCUGACCUCUGCUGAUGGGGAGUAGGAGACCUGGUUGUGCCCGUGCUGUGCCAACAGAAGCAACUGCGUAACAGGAGCUUAUGUCUAAGCUUAGACAAGAAGCAGCUUAAAACUCAUGCUGGGGGUGGUAGUGUUCUAAGAAGUAGCCCCCCUGUUCCCCCCAGCCGUGGUGAAAUGGGAGCCCUGUCUGCGGUGACCUGCGGUGUCCAGAAUCCUGUCACCUCUCGGGAUGCUGGUCCCCAGAGUUACAGAGGUGGAAGAGAGGCAGGGAUUACUUUGUAUGUGUGUUUCCCUGACACUGUUUGUUCUUUCUUUUUCUGUGCUGUCCUGAACAUGAAGAUGAUGAUGGAGGUUCUGCACCUCUGUAAGUACCUUGUUUUUCUACUUAGUCCUGUUUGUACUGGCAGAUCACAUUAAUCAGGAAAUCUGCUUUGAAUAUAAAAGCGAGCUGGUGCAGGAAUACAAUGUUAGCUUCCGGGGGGACUUCCCCUUCCCAUGUUUUUUUUUUUUUUUUGUGGCCUCUAUAUGAACUGCAUACAACUUAGAAUGGUACAGAGGUCUCUGAAACUGAUUGUUUUGGCAACUAAACUCACCUUGCUGUAUCUUGAGCAUCUAUUUGGGUACGAAUCGCAUUAGUGGGUAGGGUGGGUUUUUGUGCUUUGUCUUCACUUGCCCCUUUUUUCCCUUUUCUCUUUCCAGGAAAAGUAAUGCCACAAACCACAAGGACAAGAAUGUCCGCCAGAGAAACGCUAACUAAGCAGGGGCCAGGUGAUAUGUAGCUGAAGAACUCGUCUGGACAUUUUUUUCUUUUUCUUUGGUAAAAUAGCACCGUGAAAUAUUCUAGUGUGUCCUUGCGAUUGAGUUACUUCACUUUCUAAAGGAACUUAAGUUGUAGAAACUAAAAUACACGUGAUGUUUUUUUUUUUAAAAAAAAAAAAAAGAGUUGUGGGAGGGUUUUUCUACCUGUAAGCAUAAAUCCCUUGUUUCUGGUAGUCUUGGUCACUGGCUGUCUGUCCUAGGUCUCUUCAUGUUGGUGCAGAGCGGGUGGGUGGGAGUACAACUUCUCUUCCUCUCCUCUUGAAGAGCAGCGUGCGCUGGGGGGGCUGUUCUGAAAUGCCCUCCUUGCCCCACCUCAGUGUUGGAGGCCACACAAGGAGCUGCGGAGAGCCGACCUGAGCGUGGCAGCAAAAUGCACAGUUCCUUGAGGGCUGCUCCACCAGACAUGGCUGGCCUGGGUUCCCAGCAGGGCUGUCGUGCCCUACACAUGCAGGUCAGGAGGAAACUGCUGUAGCAACCUUCUGGAGGUGACCCCAUCCCUCAGAGCAUCUUAGGAGGGCAGCUCUGGGUCUUUCCCAGUGCGUUACCUGGAGCAGGGCUGCGCCUUUCCCUUGCUUGGAAGCAGCCUGUGUCCUAUAAGCUGUUCGUGCAGGGCCCCUGGGCACUGUCUGGGGUGGCUCCUGUGGAGGUGUGAGCCGCUUGCUUCCCAGCAUGCGCUGCCCCAGUGCCCUGCUGUGGGGCAGGCGUUCCCCCCGGCUCCUCCAGGGAUGCUCUUGGUGGUCACACUCGGAAACAGACAACCAGGAGACAGUGUUACAGCUGGACACUGGCUAAACAUGAUUUGUGUUAACUUAUUUAAUGGGUUGUUAGUAUUGCUUCUCAAGUGGCUACACUGGGGUCUGGGGGCAGAGUGUGGGGUGAAUGCUAGGGGUGCGGUGUGGUGGGGGGCGGUGUGACAGCAUGUGUUCUUGUGCUUGGGCCAUCUUGGUGUUUGUGCAACAUAGGAGCCUGAGAGCAGAUGAAUGCUCAGUGGUGUCUAAUACCUUUAUUGCUGAGUAGCAUUGAGCUGUUCCAUCUGUUAACAUAAUUCACAAAUAAAGAUAAUUCCUUUCUCUCUUUUUCCA